AAAGUUAGAUGCUCUGGAAAAGACCCAACUGCCCUUUUGCUUUGUUAGAGAGCCACGUGGCUACCUCCUUUGCAUUACUUUGCUUUUUCUUUUGCUUUUGCUGUCUACUACCAACACUAGGGUUGCUUCUAUUUUGAAAAAACCACGUUCUCUCUCUUCCUCUACCUCUCUCUUCCUCUUCCUCUUCUCUCUUUUUGAUAUUGUUCUCUUCUGAUUUCUGUGCAGAUGAAUAUGAUGUUGAUGGAGACGGUGAACACGUUGCUGAUGAUAUCGUGAUGUUGAUGGUUUGUUUGCUGAACCUAUGGAAUUUGUGGUCGGAGUUGAAUCGUAUACGACGAAGAAGACGCCGAUUCUCCUCAGAUUUUAGAGCAAUCCAGAGCAUUCGUUUUACCAAACCUUUUCAGAUCCCCUUUUCAUAUCGUCACUACUAUUCAUACCAUUGGUAAGAUUUUGUUACUAUGCUUUUAUUGAAUGUGUCUGAUUGUAUGGUUAUCAUGAUGUGCGUUAGAUAUGCGGUGUUCAGUUUCACGGUGGUCGAUCUGCGUUGGCAACAACGUGUUUCCGUCAGUGAUUGUGGUGGUGGUAAGAUUCAGAAUGAACUCUGUCUGAAUUUUUCAGUUUAGGUUUUGUUAUUAACUUACCCUCCCUUAAACCCUAAUUUUAGGUUGAUUUAAUAAUGGUAUGGAUUCAUGGUUUGAAAUUUAGCUUGGCUAUUCAUGAUUCAAUAUCUUAAAUUGUAAGCACUCAUAAUCAAUGCUUUUGGGGAGAUUUCUUUUUCAUAAACGUUUUGGACUUGAACAUGUGAGCUAUGUUUUAGCCAGACAUGCAAAUUUCUUUGCACGAAAAGCAAUAAAUAUGAGGGUUCAUAUCUGAUCCUGAAGUUGUAUUAGCUUGCUGCUUAGACUGGUAUGUGUUUACCCGGUGCAGGUCAGGAAUGGUGACGAUGUUAGCUGGUAGUUAAAGGUUAAGUCAAAAGGAAAUCGAAGGUUAGAUGUUAAGGUGGGUUCUGUUAUUGAACCUGAACUUGUGUAUUGACUGGAUAUGAUUGUUUUUGUGAUGCAGUAAUUUAUUCUAUGUUGAUUGGACAUAAGUGUUAAGGGAUAAGUUUUGGAAGUUGAAAGUUAA